rfam:Stegodyphus mimosarum contig47006, whole genome shotgun sequence.
GCCUUCGUGGUGUAGUGGUCAGCACGCUUGACGCGUAUUUGAGAGGUCUAUGGUUCAAGUCCCGGCGAAGUCA